rnacentral:rRNA from 1 species
AUUGAACGCUGGCGGCAUGCCUUACACAUGCAAGUCGAACGGCAGCGGACCUUCGGGUGCCGGCGAGUGGCGAACGGGUGAGUAAUGUAUCGGAACGUACCUUUCAGUGGGGGAUAACGUAGCGAAAGUUACGCUAAUACCGCAUAUUCUGUGAGCAGGAAAGCCGGGGAUCGCAAGACCUUGCGCUGAUUGAGCGGCCGAUAUCAGAUUAGCUAGUUGGUGAGGUAAAGGCUCACCAAGGCGACGAUCUGUAGCGGGUCUGAGAGGAUGAUCCGCCACACUGGAACUGAGACACGGUCCAGACUCCUACGGGAGGCAGCAGUGGGGAAUUUUGGACAAUGGGGGCAACCCUGAUCCAGCCAUGCCGCGUGAGUGAAGAAGGCCUUCGGGUUGUAAAGCUCUUUCGUCCGGGAAGAAAUCGCAUCAGCUAAUACCUGGUGUGGAUGACGGUACCGGAAUAAGAAGCACCGGCUAACUACGUGCCAGCCGCCGCGGUAAUAC